GGGGAUUUGGCUCAGUGGUAGAGCGCUUGCCUAGGAAGCGCAAGGUCCUGGGUUCAGUCCCCA
rfam:Rattus norvegicus chromosome 1, whole genome shotgun sequence.